AAAACUUUCAACAACGGAUCUCUUGGUUCUGGCAUCGAUGAAGAACGCAGCGAAAUGCGAUANGUAAUGUGAAUUGCAGAAUUCAGUGAAUCAUCGAAUCUUUGAACGCACAUUGCGCCCUCUGGUAUUCCGGAGGGCAUGCCUGUUCGAGCGUCAUUAUCAACCAUCAAGCUCUGCUUGGCAUUGACUGUCACCCCCUAGGGGGAGCGGUCUAAACAGGUCGGCUUCGGAUGCGAACCGCGAGCGUUAGUAAUACUUCCCGCUUUGCAGGUCAAAUCUGUUAGCCUCCAAAACCCAACACNUCAAGGUUGACCUCGGAUCAGGUAGG
rnacentral:rRNA from 1 species